AUUGAACGCUGGCGGCAGGCCUAACACAUGCAAGUCGAACGGUAACAGGAAGACGCUUGCUUCUUUGCUGACGAGUGGCGGACGGGUGAGUAAUGUCUGGGAAACUGCCUGAUGGAGGGGGAUAACUACUGGAAACGGUAGCUAAUACCGCAUAACGUCGCAAGACCAAAGAGGGGGACCUUCGGGCCUCUUGCCAUCGGAUGUGCCCAGAUGGGAUUAGCUAGUAGGUGGGGUAACGGCUCACCUAGGCGACGGUCCCUAGCUGGUCUGAGAGGAUGACCAGCCACACUGGAACUGAGACACGGUCCAGACUCCUACGGGAGGCAGCAGUGGGGAAUAUUGCACAAUGGGCGCAAGCCUGAUGCAGCCAUGCCGCGUGUAUGAAGAAGGCCUUCGGGUUGUAAAGUACUUUCAGCGGGGAGGAAGGGAGUAAAGUUAAUACCUUGACUCAUUGACGUUACCCGCAGAAGAAGCACCGGCUAACUCCGUG
rnacentral:rRNA from 1 species